rnacentral:sRNA from 1 species
UGCGUGAGGGAAGAGCAGAGUCAUAGACUCUCCUCAGACUAUCUUACUGACAGACAAGUUACAGCCCCUGAAAAUGCACUGCAGGGACUGUGCCCUGGUGACCAGCUCAGGGCAUCUGCUGCACAGUCGGCAAGGCUCCCAGAUUGACCAGACAGAGUGUGUCAUCCGCAUGAAUGACGCCCCCACACGCGGCUAUGGGCGUGACGUGGGCAAUCGCACCAGCCUGAGGGUCAUCGCGCAUUCCAGCAUCCAGAGGAUCCUCCGCAACCGCCAUGACCUGCUCAACGUGAGCCAGGGCACCGUGUUCAUCUUCUGGGGCCCCAGCAGCUACAUGCGGCGGGACGGCAAGGGCCAGGUCUACAACAACCUGCAUCUCCUGAGCCAGGUGCUGCCCCGGCUGAAGGCCUUCAUGAUUACUCGCCACAAGAUGCUGCAGUUUGAUGAGCUCUUCAAGCAGGAGACUGGCAAAGACAGGAAGAUAUCCAACACUUGGCUCAGCACUGGCUGGUUUACAAUGACAAUUGCACUGGAGC